GGGCAUCGACGCGGGAGCUUCCACCUCAGGAGGCUGAGAGGGCGGCUGGGUCGUGGGCCCGGGGUCGCCGACCGCAUGAACCUGUCCGGGUAAUGCCGGCGUAGGGAGCAAGUCUCAUGGAGCG
rnacentral:ncRNA from 1 species